rnacentral:lncRNA from 1 species
CUGCCGCUUUUAUCUUCUACUCACCUACCCAGAGGUUUUCUUCAUUCUACACAAAUACAGAGAUCAGAGAUCGAUACAGAAAUAGAGCGGGUCAACAUCUUCCUGUUAGUCAAAAACCACUGCCAUCACAAUUUUGGGGGUCAUAAUAUUUUCAAAACCAUUCAUCUCUCUCUCUCUUUCACCUCAAAGAUACAAAUCGAGAUCUAGGAGGCAAUCAGAUCAGUGUUUCAAAUUUAGCCCUUGUUGGUGCAUUUAUGACUAAACCGGAAGCUGGGUCACCUGUCACCAAGAUCAGUGUUUCAAAUUUAGCCCUUGUUGGUGCAUUUAUGACUAAACCGGAAGCUGGGUCACCUGUCACCAAGAUCCCUUCAUAGAAAGGAAAAUGGAGUUUUUGAUUGAAAGCGUGGAUGAUCUCUCAAUGGAACAUUAAAAGUUCUAUUUUUUCUAUCACAGUCUGUCACGUCAACAAGCCUAGCAAGAAACAUGGCUUCAAAAGUGAAGGUACCUGC